rnacentral:lncRNA from 1 species
AGAAAAAAAAAACCUAACCUCUGAGUUGUUGCGCAGCCAUCGCCGUUUCCGACGUUCCUCAUCACCAACAUCACCAACUUCUACUUUCCUCCAUCGAAAAUAAUGAUGGAUGGUGAGGAUAUAUGCUUGGUAGAUAGCGCGACUAGUCACACCAUUCUAAAGAAAAAGAUAUAUUUUUCUCAUAUGAUAAUGAAAAAGGCUAGUGUGAAUACAUUCUCUGAUAGUGCAAACAUAAUUGAAGGCUCCAGAAGAGCAUAUAUGUUAUUGCCUAUCGAAAUGCAACUUGAAGUAGUUGAUGCAUUAUAUUCUCCCAAGUAUAAGAGAAAUCUAUUGAGCUUUAAAGAUAUCCGUAGAAAUGGGUAUCAUAUUGAGACUAUGAAUGAAGGAAACAAUGAGUACCUUCAAAUCAUAAGUAUUACUCAAGGUUCAAAGAAAAUUAUUGAAAGACUACCCACAUUUCUCCACUAGUUUAUAUUGUACUAAGAUUAGUACGAUUGAGGCAAAUGUUGUAGUAAAACAUAAGUUAACUGGAAAUCUCAAUGUUCGGCACGACCGGUUAGGCCAUCCGGGUUCGAUAAUGAUACAAAAGAUAAUAAUGAAUUCCUGUGGACUGCAUGUUCACAAGGCAAGCUAAUCAUAAGGCCUUCACCAGCUAAGAUAAAUUCUGAAUCAAUAAAUUUUCUGGAACGAAUACAUGGGGAUAUUUGUGGGCCGAUUCACCCACCGUGUGGAAACUUUAGAUAUUUCAUGGUUCUAAUUGACGCAUCGACUAGAUGGUCACAUGUAUCUUUGUUAUCAACGUGCAACUUGGCGUUUGCGAGGUUACUUGCUCAGUUGAUUCGAUUAUGAGCACAUUUUCUAGAUUUUUCUUUAAAGACAAUUCGUCUUGAUAAUGCUGGUGAAUUCACGUCCCAAGCUUUUAAUGAUUAUUGUAUGUCCAUUGGGAUAAGUGUUUAGCUGAAUCAUUGAUUAAGCGCCUCCAAUUGAUUGCUAGACCAUUACUUAUGAAAUUAAAACUCCCAAUUUCUGCUUGGGGACAUGCUAUUUUACAUGCAACAUAGUUAAUACGCAUCAAGCCAACGAGCAAUCAUAAGUAUUCCCCCUUACAAUUAAUUUUGGGUCGUGAACCGAAUAUCUCCCAUCUAAAAGUUUUUGGAUGUGCUGCAUAUGUUCCAAUUGCCCCACCACCACGAUCUAAGAUGGGACCUCAGAGGAGGUUGGGGAUAUAUGCUGGAUAUGACUCCCCAUCGAUAAUUAAAUAUCUAGAGUCAUCUACGUGAGAUUUGUUUAAGGCUUGUUUUGUAGAUUGUCAUUUCAAUGAGUCUGUAUAACCAACAUUGGGGGAAGAAAAUAAUAAGCUGAGAAAUGAAAUCCGUUGGAAUGAAUUAUUAUUAUCUUAUCAUGAUCCUCGAACUAGAGAAUGUCAAUCAAAAGUCCAAAAGAUAAUUCAUUUACAGAGCUUAGCAAACCAGUUGCCAGACUCAUUUGCAACUGAUUUGCUGACCCAAAUAAAGUACUCAAGUCUCCUAUCCCAACUUUUAAUGCUCCAGUUAGAAUUGAUGUCCAAGGAGGACUUAAUCAAGCUGCUAAUGAGUCUAAGGCACGUUUAAAACGUGGUAGACCAAUUGAUUCCAAAGAUAAGAAUCCUCGGAAAAGGAAAGGAGCAGAAAUUAGCAAUAGUGAAACCAAAGAUGUCAGGAAUCCUGAAGGUUCUCUAGAAGAGACCGUAGACAUGACAAAGAAAGAAAUUCAGGUACAUGAUAAUGAUGAGAUCUCAAUUAAUCAUGUCAUGUCUGGGAUAAAAUGGAACCGAAAGCAAAUCGACGUAGAUGAUAAUUUUGCAUACAAUAUAGCACUUGAGGUUAUGGAUGAAAAUGAGGAUCAUGAACCAAAGUCUAUUGCUGAGUGUACACUACGAAGUGAUUAGCCAAAAUGGAAAGAGGCAAUAGACGCUGAAUUAAAAUCACUCUCAAAACGAGAAGUGUUUGGACUGGUAGUCUGUACUCCUAGUGGUGUUAAACCAGUAGGACAUAAAUGGGUCUUUGUGCGGAAAAGGAAUGAAAAUGGUGAAAUUGUGCGAUACAAAGAACGAUUAAUUGCACAAGGAUUCUUACAAAGACCUGGAAUUGAUUAUGAGGAGACAUACUCUCUUGUGGUGAAUGCAACUACUUUCAGAUUCUUGAUUAGUCUAGCAAUUAAGGAAGGACUUGAUUUACACAUGAUGGACGUAGUCACAACAUACAUGUAUUGUCCUCUUGAUAAUGAAAUUUAUAUGAAAGUCCCAAAAUGAUUCAAACUGCCACCGAUAGCAAAAUCUAGUUCUCGAGAAAAUUACUGCAUAAAGUUGAAUAAAUUUAUUUAUGGGCUGAAACAAUCAGGGCGUAUGUGGUAUAAUCGCAUGCGUGAAUAUUUAUUAGGAGAAGGUUAUAAGAAUAACCCUAUUAGCCCAUGCAUAUUUAUAAAGAGAUUUGAGAAAUGAUUUGUUAUAAUCGCAAUAUAUGUAGAUGAAUUGAAUAUCAUUGGUACUUCUGGAGAAAUUUCCCAUAUAGUGGAAUACUUGAAAAAAGAAUUGGAGAUGAAAGAUCUUGGAAAGACGAGAUUCUGUCUUGUACUACAGAUAGAGCACCUAGAGCAAGGAAUCCUUGUGCAUCAAGCAACUUAUAUAGAAAAUGUGCUAAAAAAAAUUUAUAUGGAUCAAGCACAUCCGUUGAGCAGCCCAAUGGUUAUAAGGUCACUUGAUGUGGAUAAAGACCCAUUCGCCCCUAAGAAAGAGAUGAGAAAAUCCUUGGUCCGGAAGUACCAUACUUAAGUGCUAUUGGGGCAUUAAUGUGUCUUACUUGUCAUACAAGACCUGAUAUAUCUUUUGCAGUAAAUUUAUUGGCAAUGUUUAGGUCAUGCCCAACUCGAAGGCACUGGAAUGGGAUUAAACAUAUAUUCGUUACCUCAAUGGAACGAAAGACAUGGGUUUAUUCUUUUCUAAUCAACCUAAAGGAGAUUUGAUUGGUUUUGUAGAUGCAGGAUACUUAUCUAGUCCUCAUAAUGGUCGAUCACAAACAGGAUAUAUAUUAUCAUGUGGUGGUAGUGCCAUCUUUUGGCGAUCUAUGAAGCAAACCAUUGCAACAACUUCUUCUAACCAUGCAGAGAUUCUAGCUAUCCAUGAAGCCAGUCGCGAGUGUGUAUGGUUGCGGUCCGUCAUUCAGCAUAUAUAGAACGAUUGUGGUAUAUCUGAAGGGAAAGAAACUCCAACAAUUAUGUACGAAUACAAUGUUGCAUGCAUUUCACAACUAAAGGAAGGAUACAUUAAAGGUGAUAGAACGAAGCACAUCCUACCAAAGUUCUUCUUCACACUUUCUUCACACAUGAGCUUCAGAAGAAUGGGGAUGUUAAUGUUCAAGCGAUAAUUUGGCUGACUUAUUCACCAAGGCUCUUCCAACUGCAACGUUCAAGAAAUUAGUUCGUCUUCUUGGAUUACGUCGUCUCAAAGAUCAUGACGGAUGCACUCAUCAGGGGGAGUAAAUGCGCGCUGCACUCUUUUUCCCUUAACCAUGGGUUUUCCUACUGGGUUAUUCUGGUAAGGUUUUUAAUGAGGCAACAUGUUUUGCGCAUUUACAACUAUUUGAUUUUAAUGGACAUCCAAGGGGGCAGUGGGUGUUAUGAAUGAUUUAGUGGGUGCCUAUUAUAGGGCCAUUAGUCUAUUCACCACAUUUGUAUCCCUAUAUAUACACUCUCUUAUCAAUAGAAUGAAUACACACUUUUCACCCCCUAAAUCUCUUUCUUAACAAUCUUUUUUUUUUCUUUUUUUUCCGACCAAAAUCCAUUAAUAUGGAAAUGACAAGUAGUUUUGUCAAGGCCCAACAACCAGGACUUUACAUAUCGAAACUAAAAAUAAAUAAAAAAAACUGAAAAGUAAAUAAAGCCCAGAUUUUGACACGUGUGAGACGCGUGUUUAGACGAAAAACAAUAACGAUUAGAUCUCCAAUGUCACCGUUUUCCGUCACAAGCUCCGUUCAUCGCCACCACCGAAGCGAUCUUCUUACAGUUACAAAUCUAUAUUUCUUCAAUGAAAUCAGCUUUUAACUCUGAAUAACCACUUGAUAGAUCCUUCUACAGUUGCACCGCCGCCUCUCUAGAUUAGAACCGUCACAUAACCUUAAAAGAUUGAAAAGGUUUUUUCCAGAUCUUCCUUGCUUCAGCUUAAUAUCCAAGAUAGAAGCCCCGCCUUUUGACCUAUCCAUGAGGCCAAACUUCGUAUAACUAACGAAGAAAUUUCAGCGAUGAUAUUACUCUAAUCGUUUGAGGAGAGUCAAGCCACGGUUAAAAAAAACAAUCUAUAACUAGCGGAACUUGGAUAUAGUUUUUGUAGAGAGAUGAACAAAAUACCAUACUUAGCCGGUAAUAAAGACUAUUCCGAUAAAACGGAAACUAUAUAUCCGAUUAAAAUUGGAAAUUAUUUAUAUACUAGUUUAGCACCCGUCCGAUGGACGGGUUAUCUUUAUUUAAAAUUAAAUUAAAAUUAAAAUUUAUUAUAACUUACAAAAAAAUAAUUUCCAAAUUUUUUUUUGAAAAAAUAAGAGAAAUUAAUUUCAUUUGGAAAGAAAUUUUAUUUGGUUUGAAGUAUCAAAUAAACGUAUAUAUAUAUAUAUAUAUAUAUAUUAAAAUUCGUUAUUAAACAUUAAUUAUAAAAAUCUAGUAAUGUCAAAUUGACAAUCACCAAAACAUUUAGGAGCUAUUCACCAUUACUCAUAAUAUUGCUAGAAUAUAUAAAAAAAUCUUAAUUUAGCAAUUAUCCUCUAAAACAUGAUUAUACCAUUUUGUAAAAAAAUUUAUUUCUUAACUUUCAAUUUUUCAAAAAAUCAUUCUCUGACUAUGAAAAUUAAUUAAUUAUUAUUUAAUAUGAUGGUAAAGUUCUUUCAAAUUAACAUCAAUCUAAAUAAUGAUGUUAAAUACAAAUAUAGUCAUUUGUAAAUAAAUUCAUAUAAACAACGCAAAUAAACAUAAAGAUUCUAAAAUAAAUUAUAGCAUCGUUGAGGAAAACAUUAAAAAUCUUUCAAAUACGAAUUAUAAAAAACUACAUAUUUUCUUUAAAAAUAUUUUAAAAUCACUAUAUUACGAUUUAUAUUGAACUUGGUUAUCUUUAAUUUAAGAUAAAAAUAUUAUUUUCGAAAAUAUUUUAUUCACCCUUAUGUUUUAGACAAUGAAAUUGCUCAAUGGCAUAAUACAUUUAUAAAUAAAUUAAAAACUAAAAAAAAAACAUAUUAUAAAAUAAAAAUCAUGAAUAAAAUUUUGUAUUUAGUUAAACUCAAAAUCUAAUUUAUUUGUAAACUGUAAAUCCUAAAUCUCCUUUAUGAACCCAAACUGAUAAAAACCUUGUUUAAUUGUAAAACCUAAAUCUCACUCCUCUUUAAUAAACUAAAACCGAUAAAUAAUCUCGUUUAAUUAUAAAAUCUAAACUAUAAUGCAGAUUUAUAAACUCAACAUAUAACCCUUAUAAUUGUAAAACCUACAACUGGCAAAACCAAAAAUUAUGUUAAUAGUUGAAAGAGAAUUUUUGAGAAAUAUCACUUUUGGUGUACCCUUUUUUAAAAAUACACAAUUUUUCUAUCCUUUUUAAAAAUAUCCCUUUUCAAAUCUGAAAAAUUGUAAACUUUUAUAUAGUUUAUAAGGUACAUCUAGAUUAUCAUUACUAUUGGGAGACUCAAUACAAAUAUUUAUAAAGUUUUAAAAAGGUUCUAAACGGCAUUUAUAAGACUUUUAUAAGGUUUUAUAAGGUUUACAAAGUUUUUAUAUAUUUUUAAAAUAGUUUUUAAAAGGUUUUUAAAAGGUAUUUAUAUGGUAUUUAAAUUUACACACAUAGAAAGAUAAUUUGUGUCUAAAUAUAUAAGCUUACACUUUUUUUUUUAUAAAUAUCAAUUUUUUUUCCUUUUUAAUUAUCAAAAAUACCCUUUUUCUAUACCACUUUUUAAAAAUAUCCCUAUUCCAAACUUCAUAAAAAAACCACUUUAAAUGUUGAAAUUUAUCCAAAUAUGUGUGUAAACUUAUAAAUAUACACACAAGUUACCUUUAUAUAUGUUUAAAUUUUUAUAUAUAUUUCAUAAAUAGCGUAAAAUAACUUAUAAAUACCUUUUAAAAACCUUAUAAACCCUUUUAAAAACCACUUAAAAACCUUAUAAAACUUGUAAAAACGAUUUAAAACCUUUUAAAACAUUAUAAAAUAUUUGUAUAAAAUUUCCAAAUAGUAGUUAUUAUAUAGAAGUACCUUAUAAACCAUAUAAUACUUUAGAAUUUUUCAUAUUUAAACAUGGAUAUUUUUGAAAAUGGAUAGAUAAAGGAGAUAUUUUUGAAAAGGGGUACACCAAAAGGGGUAUUUCUCAAAAAUUCUCUUUAAUUUUUUUAUAAUUACUUUUUAACUGUUGUUUAAAAUAUUUAUUUGUAUCUUAAUAUUAACAAAAUUAGAUAAAACAUGUUGCGACAUCUUAUGUUUUUACUUGACACUUAUCAUGGUCACGUGAGUUAGUAAAUUUAAAAAACCAAGUUUUGACAUAUAAUCUCGUUUAAUUUUUAAAAUUAAACCAUAAUUUUAAUUUAUAAAGAUAAACCAUAAUUCUUAUUUAUCAUUUAUAUACCCAAACCAACAAAUAACCUGAUUUAAUUGUAAAAUUAAAGUUUAAACCUUAAUCCUCUUCUGUAAACAAAAACCACCAUAUAUUCUUGUUAAUUAUAUAUUUUAAAUCCCUAUCUUAUUAAUAAACCAAAUUGACAUAACUAAAAUUAGGUUAUUUGUUUAAUUUUAUUAAUAAUUUUUAAUAUAUAAUUCUUUAUAAUAUUUAUUUUAUAUAUUUCAUUUUUCGAUAGGAUUAAUAAUAUUUCUAUUUUAUCCAAAUAUUAACUAAAUUAGUUACGACUCGUGUCAACAUCUUAUCGUUUAUAAUUGACACGUGUCAUGAUCUUCUUUAUAAUAUUUAUUUUAUAUAUUUCAUUUUUCGAUAAGGUUAAUAAUAUUUCUAUUUUAUCCAAAUAUUAACUAAAUUAGUUACGACACGUGUCAACAUCUUAUCGUUUAUAAUUGACACGUGUCACGAUCUUGUUAAUGGCUGACUUUGAAAACCAAGGUUAUAUAAUAAGAUAAUAUAAUAAAAUUAGAAAAGAUUUCGGUUAACUGGAAAUAACUUUCUCUUUCUAAGAGAUAAGGAUGUGUAAAGAGAAAGAAAGCAAAGAUAGAAAAACUCAUCUUUUUAUUGUUAAGAUUUACACAUCAACAACAAAUAUAUUCAAUUAUAAUUAAUCGUUUUUUUUAAUUUUUAUUUAAUUCAGACUACAUUUUGAGAAUUUGGCAAAACUAACCAAGAAAAAAACAAAAAUUAAAUAUCUAACUACUCUAACCAUAUAAUUAUGAUAUUCUCUAUAUAAACUACAAUAUUUACCAUUUUAUCCUUUUCACUACCAUUCCCUACUUUUUUACUACCACCAACCCCCUUACCACCACCACCCUCCACCACCAUCAUCUCCUACCCUCUUACCACCACCACCUCUGACCACCAUUAUUAAUUUCGGUCACCGUCUCCGGCCACCAUCUAUGGCCACCGCUUUCGGCCAGCUACCGUCUCUGGCCACCGCUUUCGGCCAAUGUCUCCGGUCACCGCCUCCGGCCACCGUCUCCGGUCACCGCCUCCGGCCACCAUUUCCGGCCACCGCUACCUUCCAUUACCACUACUACUACCAAUACUAAAAUAGUAAUUUUUCCUACCCUUCAUCUUAUUCUCCUAAUUUUAGUAAAUAUGGUGUUAUAAAUUUUGGGGCCGAUUGAUUGUGACUUUUAAAGCUUUAAAACAAUUUUAAAGUCUUAACAACUAUAUUUUUGCCAAUCAAGAUUUUUUUUUUUUUUUAAAGCCUCUAAAGCCACUUUAUUUUUUUCUUCUUUAUUUUCUCUUUAUUCUUAAAGCCUCAAUAUCACGGCUGUAGAAACUUUAGAACAAAUAAGUUUUAAAAAUUAUUUUUUCUUUUCCCUAUAAUAAUUAGAAACUCUCUAUAGAUUUAUAUAUAUUUUUUUCAAACUUUUUUUUGUAAAUUAAUUAUGAGCAUUUUUUUUCCUUUCUUUUGACAUCCACUUUUCUUUAUAAAUUUAAUAUUUUCAAUAUCACAAUUGUAUUUUCUUAUAUUAUAAUAAACUUUAUUUAUUUGUCACUAUGUUACAUAUGGAUAAAUAUUGAUCAUUAUAUAUUUAUAAAAAUUAUAUAUAAUAGCAAAAAACAAAUUCAAUUUUAACCGUUAAAGUGUCUACAGCAAAAGUAUCUACAGCAAAAGUAUCUACGGCGAAAGUCUUUACACUCACUGACUCUCUACAGCCACAAUAACCGGCCUCUUUAUUCCUCUUUUUGUAACGGUUAGUUGCUAAUUGCCCCUAUAUUUUUGAUUUGUGAAAAAAGUCGAAAUUAGAAUCUGGUCAAAUCUGUUCUUAAAAUGGGCUUUGAUUCUCGUAUUGAUCACGCUUUUACUCUUUGGUUCUAAAUCCUAAUAAAGACUUUUACUUCUCACCUCACAUUUGUCUCACUGAAUUUAACGACUCUACAACGUCGGUAGAGUUCCCACCACAACGUAUCUACGGACACGUGCACUUUACCUUCAAGUUUCACUCACCGACACGUGUCGGUAAUUUCACCAUCAAAGUAAACAAACUCAAUAAUGUCAAAAAUGUCACACAGUAGUACCCAGUUUCCACGGCACCUAUUUGUGCCAUAAAAAUCAAAACUUUAUUAUUAUCUCUAUCUCUUGCGUUGUCCCGAGAGACAUUAGAAGAAAAUAAAAAUCAAAACUUUAUUGUUUUGUAAUAACUCUCUCUCUUUUGGAGAAUUUUUACAUAAAAGUUUUUGUAGAUUCUCUGAUCAGAAAUCGUGUAAAAGUUUUCUUACACUUUACUUAUUGAAGAAUUAAAGUAAGUAAACAGUUUUAUUCUUGUUUCCUCCAUUAAACAUGAUGCAAAGAUUGUACAAUUCUAGUUUUUUUUUUCUUGGUUAAAAAAACAAAAAUAAUUCAUUUAUUCUUGGAAUUUACUAGUUGCGUUUGCUUUGUUCUUCUUGUUUGGUUGUUUUAAUUGUUUUGAUUCUUUUCUCUCUCGUUAGGUGAAGUGUACAUCUCUCUCUCUCUUUCUCUCUCUAUCUCUCUCUUUCCUGACCAAGUUCUUGUGGUGAAUAUUGAAGAGCUUUAGAGAUUUUAUUUCUCUGGUGAAUAAAAGUUUGUGAAUUUGUCUUUGUUUGCUUUGAGUUUCUUGAAUUGUUUUUUUUGGGUGUGUGGAAAAAAGUUGUUUUUUUUUUUUUUUUUUACUUCUUUUAGUAUCUUGUCUUUCCAAUUCUAGUAACUUCACUGGUUCUUGAGCUCUUUCUCUUUCAGCUUUUUUAUUUUUCAGAUCUCUGUGUUUUUCUGAUCUUUCUUCAGUUGGAGUUAGUAGUAAGUGAUUGUACUUUUAAAGAUUUGGAACUUGUGGUUCUUGCUUCAUAGACUUUGGCUGUCGUUUUGUGGAUUCUUAAGUUCUUUUGGGAUUGUUUUGUUCAUCUGGGUUUGUUGGAUCUUUGAGUUUUCUUCAUUUAUGUAUCAUCUCUUAUGGAUCUUGAUUGAAAACGAGGGAUCUUUGUGAUUGUUUCAUUAGAAAGUUUGAGUUUUUUUUGUUUUUGGGUUCUCAGAUUUUGAUGAUUAAAUGAUCAUUUUGGUGUAUUUGCUUUGUAGAUGGAAGAAGAUUGUGAGUUUAGGCAUUGGGAUGAGUUGAUACCAGACGCUCUUGGUUUAAUCUUUAGCCAUUUACCUCUUCAAGAAGUUCUAACAGUUGUGCCUAGAGUUUGCAAAGCAUGGAACAGAGCUGUUACUGGACCUUAUUGUUGGCAAGAGAUUGAUAUUGAGCUGUGGAGUAACCGUUGUCACCAGUCUGAUCAUCUUGAUCGGAUGCUUGAGAUGUUGAUCCCUAGGAGCUCUGGCUCUUUGAGAAAACUCUCUGUCACUGGCCUUAGGAAUGACUCUAUCUUCUCCUUCAUUGCACAACAGUGAGUUGCAGUUUCUUGAAUGUUUCUUGUGUGUUAUGAUCCAAUUGAUAAGAAGCAUUAAGUGGUUUAUUAAGUGUAAUCUAGGUUUGUGUUUUAUUGUCUGGAGCUGAGUCUUAAAGCUGUAGCCUUUUAGUGAUGUUUUAAGCUGAGGUUGAAGCUCAUUGCACGCUUUAUUGAUUUGAGAAGAGUUGAAUGUUGUUUAGUUGUAAUCUAGAUGGUAUUUGGAUGAGAUUGAAGCAAGAUUGGUUUUUAAGUUCAUUGCUUUUGUAUCUAUCGUUCUCUGAUUCUAAGUUCAUUGCUUUUCUUUGUAUGUUUUGUUAGUGCUGGUUCGCUUAAAACGUUGAAGGUGCCAAGAAGUAGUCUGACUAAUUCGGGUGUGGUAAACGUAGCUGAAAAGCUUUCAUCUCUCACUUACUUGGACUUGAGCUACUGCUGCAAAGUAGGCGCAGAGGCGAUACAAGCCAUAGGCAAACACUGUAAAUCCCUGAGAGAGUUUUGCAGAAACAUGCAUCCAUUGGACGUAGCAAGUGUUGUCUCUCACGACGAUGAAGCUUAUGCAAUCGCCAACACAAUGCCAAAGCUGAAGCGGUUAGAAAUCGCAUACCACCGAGUGAGCACAGAAGGAGUACUCAAAAUCUUAUCUUGCUGCAUCUUUCUUGAGUUCUUGGAACUUAGAGGUUGUUGGGACGUGCAACUCGAUAACAAGUUCUUCAAAGAGAAGUUUCCGGAUAUGAAAGUGUUAGGUCCACGGGUGAUCGGAUUCUAUGAUAUGAUAAACGAUUGGGAGGAUUGCUGCUCAGAUUAUUUCUCUGAUGGGUCUGAUUACUUGGCUUGGGAGUUUCUUGAAGAUGGUGUAAUGGGAGAGUUCUAUGAAGAUGAGUUUGAGCAUGGUUGGGACGAUAACUUUUACGCAGACAACGCAAUUCUAGACAUGGAACCGCAUAUUUGGCCGCCAUCUCCAUGAAGAAACAGGUCUUGUUAUGUCCUUAAAGAUGCAUCUAGGAAUGGUUAUAGCCUCUUAUGUGUCACUUGAUCUAUGUAAUGGUGCUUGAACUUGUGUGGCUUCUCUUUGUGUUAUUCUAAUCUAAACCAGGCUGGUUCAUGGCUUUAAUCUCUCUCUUUACUUAGUGAUGUUUAGAAACCAUAUAUGUGUGUGUGUAUGUAUAGAAUUGGAGAUGUCAAGUUGAUGUAUAAGAAACAAAAAGUAGUGAAGUAAAAAAGGACAAAGCUAUUGAGGAAGAAUUCAAAUGAAAUGGGGUCACUUCACUUUUCUUACUUAUCUGCCAUUUUGUGUAGUGUUGUGUCUUUUCUUCAUUUAAGUCUUUGGUCUCUUUUGGAUUUUGUUACUUUUUUGUAAAUCAAAGAUAACAAGUUCAUUGAACAAAUCAUUAACUUAGCUUUUCUGAGGCCUUUGGUUCUGAAUUUAGUAAUAAGAACUUGUUAAUAUUGAGUUCCCUAAUCCGACCAUAAGUGAAGGAUUGAAAGAAAAUUAAAGGAAGUGAUUAGAGUGUAAGAACUUCAAUCAAUUAGGAUAAUGCCCUCAUAGGUAUCAUUAUCAAUUAGGUUCGUUAUCCUUAUUACUAAGAAUCAUUUCUUAGCUUUGUUUAGCUUAAGGACUUCGUAAACUCUCAUCAAUAAUUAUGUCUUAGACUCUUAGUAAUGAUGAAACCAAUGAAUUUUGGAGAUGAGCAAAAUAAUGAUGUGGUGAAAAUUCAAUCCCAUGACAUGGUCGAGAUAAACCAUAGUGCAAAACUUAGUUACACACAUCAUUAUUCUUAAAGUCAUUUUAAUAUUGUGUAGACUAGGUUUGGUAUUUGCUACAUUGGGGAUUAUGCUUAGAUCACCACAUUGUUUAUAGCAAUGCCUUAUCUUGGCAAUUAGACACUUUGGGAGAAGUCACAUAUGUGCAGUGGCGGAGCCAGCCAAGGAUCAUGAUGGUCAAAUGACACCCAUAAAACUUUGAAAUUUAGUUAAUUUUUAGCUGUAAUUUUAAAAUUAACCCUAGUACAAUCAAGAGAUUGACCCCUAUAAAUAUUCUUUUUACAUUUUGACCCCCAUAAACACAAAUCCUAGCUCCACCACUGCAUAUGUGGAUAUGGUUUAUUUGUGUAACUAAGACUGAUCAAAAAGAAAUAUCAUAUAAUUUGUUUUUUUUUUUUGGGAAGAUAUAAUAUGUUUCAUCUUUAUGAACUACUUCAAACUCUAAAAACUAGCUUGAUAAGUGAAUCCACUAGCAUGAUUGUUUUUGAGGAAAAAUAAAAGAACUUUGUAUGUUAGAAUCCAAUCAUCUUCAGAUUAGUUAUUUCUCUACCAAUGCGACUGUUGUCAUCGGCUUUGUUUUCUUUAUGGUUAUUCAUCGGGCAAAUGAUAAAAUAUCGUUUUGGGAGGGGGUCGAAGAUCAAAUGUGUCGCUUUUGGAAAGACAUGUUAAUUAAUGAGAUUAAAAUAUAUUUAAUUUGGUUUUCUAUUUUCUUGUUUAGAAUCGUUGUCAACGUUUAUAGUAAAAAAACUUCUAUAGUGCAGGUUUGUUUUUUGUUGAUGAUGUGAGUGUUUUGGAGAAUGGUACUUAUUUACAAAUACAUAAUAUUUUUUAUAGAGAAUAAUGAAAAUAUAUUGUUUUUGUACAUUUAUACGAAAUCUACUCUUAUUUUCCCAUACUAAAUUGUAUGACAAAUGUUACCAUAUUCAUCACAUACCACAAUAAAACCACCAUCUUUUAUUAUUCAGUUUGACUAAAAGUAGUAUUUUUAAAUGAUAAAAUAGUUUUGAUUUUUUAUUAUAAACAUUAGUUGUUUUAAUUAUUCAUAACAAACCCCAACUUUAAAAUUUCUUUUUUUAAAAGGUUAAAAUAAACAUAUAAUUAUUUUAUCUAUAUGUGUAUGUAAGUAUGUUUAUAUAAUUUUCAUAGACAAUCCAAUUCCUUUUUAAAUAGUCCGUUUCUCUUUUUAAGUUGUGUUAAAUUUAAUAGUUUGAUUUGAUUAGUGAAUUAUGUUUAACAAAUUUUAGAAAACAAAACAUAAGUACUACUUACAUACAUUAAUUUUUGUUUUUGCAGAUAUAUAAUUUCAUCUCCAAAUGUUGAGAUUUUCUUAACUAGUGUUGAGAAAGGAAAAGAUGGAGGGUUUUGUUUAGUCGGCAUAGAUGUAAGUUGUUGAAAAAUUUAUAGAUCAAAGAGUAUAGAAAGCCCAUAGAUAGAUUAGAGAAUCCAUAAAUGUUCAAGAAUUUCAAUAAAAUGGGCAUUUAUCACAUAGCAUCCAUGACCAUAAACUGGGUACUCAUGUUUUAUGGUAAACCUCUAUAAUGAUCGCACUAUAAUAGUACAAGUUGCCACAUCGAUAUUACUUUGUCGAUCCACGAGUUGACAAAUCUUGAAGACAAGGUUAGUGAGCUUUCACAAGUUGUAUAUUUGGAACUUGGAAGAGAAUGAUGUGAUUCUCAAAGUUAAUGGGAUGGCAGUAUAAAAUGGACAAGUUUUCUAUGACAGCAUAUUUUGGAUACACUUGAAUGGCUUUAUUUUUUUGAAGAAACACUAUGAACGGAUCAUUUUACGGAGAAGACCGGUCGAUCUGAUGGUGAGACCGAUCGGUCUGAGGGGGAGUUUACAGCAAAUUUACCACUUCUCUAUGAGACAGAAGAAUUGGGUGUUGGUAAACGUCCUAAGAAGCUUCCAACAAGGUUGAAUGAUUAUGUUCUCAACACCACGAAGAUAUCAACUGACCCCUCCCCACGCACUUCUGCCUCAUUAAUUAGAUGACGAGUUUUGAAACUAUAUCACCAAUUACAACAUCAUUUUGAGAAAAAAAAAAAAGAAAAAAAAAAGAACAUAUACAAAAGUCUGAAUAGGUGGCUCAACAAUCCUAAUUGUUGAAUCAUUUCUCCAUUAUUGUACUAAACUUAAAGAUCCUUGAACCCAUACAUGUCGUUGUAAUCCGUUUGAUAUUUUGAAACAGAUCUAAUAUCGAAGAACGAUAAGAUUAACAAAAAAUAAAAUUUAUUCUCGUAACCAUAGCUUUUUUUUUUAAUGUGAGAAUUAAAGAAAGAUGUAAAGCUAUGCGUCCUCUUAGUUCUAGAUUGAUGUCUAUAGGUAACUGGGUAUAAAUGUAUAACCGAUUAUCCUUCUCCGAGCUACCGAAAUAUGUGAGGAUAUAGUUGAAAGGUAAUUUAGUUGUUAUGGUCAAUCUAAAACGUUCACAAAAAAUCUCAAGGUCAACCUUUGGAUUCUCACAAGAUGAUGUGUUUGGGUAUGUCUCAUGACGUUAAAAAUGUCUUCGAGAAGAAUUAUCAGAAUAAUCUUUGGACUUUAUUGUUUUUCUUGUUUUUUUUUUUUCUCAUGACUCAUAGUCAUGACUCUCCUAGACUCCUUCUCUCAUUUAUUUUUUAAUUGUGUUUAAUUCUUGUAAUGUUGUCACAUGUGAAAGUUUUUUUUUUUUUUUUUUUCUCAACUUCAACUAUUCAUUAACCAAAGGAUUACAUCCAAAUUAAAGGUACAUGAUAUUCACCUCUAUAGAAUUGGACCAAAUGCAAUGGGAUGAUCUAAUAAAACCCUGAAUCACUAGCGGAUCCAACGCAACCUGAUCGAAAGACCAUUGCAUUUUUUUAACCACAAUGAGAUUGAUAACACUCCACAACUCAGAGUGAAAUCAUCUCUUAACUACCUAAAAUUACCCUCUAAUACGAAAACAACUACUAACACAGAGAAUACUAAAAUCUAUAUUAAAGAUCUAAGCAAAUCCAAGCUAUUAGAACCUCUUGAUCGGCGUGUAGGACUUGUCCAAAUAGCAUCGAACACCAAAAGGCGUAUCGUCAGAAAGACUUAGAUUCUCUAGCUUUCAUUGUUUCGAUCCUAAGCCAAAACGGACAAUACAUCCGACUGACCCGGCCAAAAGACGUGAAACAAGACCCGCAUGAACCGAUGCUUCUCCGCAAGAACCAUUCAAAGACCCGAAUGCUAAUCAUCUAAAGAUAAGAGUUUUGAACACAGAUUAGCAUAGCUUCACCUCACGAUGCAUUCCGGAUUGGCCAUCACAGUACCUGCCUUGUUGUCUCACUUCUCGGCCGGACUGAACCCAAGGAAUUGAGAAUGCUCACAUGAACGCCAGCUUUGAGGAUAACCUCAAAUCUCGGCCACCGACGCCCACAGGAUCCACCCCAACACCGGAAAAAACUCGAAAGCUCGCUUCCACCGCAGCUUUCGGUCAGCUAGGUACUCCGGCAAAAGGAUAGGAGAAGCAAGAGGGCGUGACUCACGAGCUCAGAUCCGACGCCCUGAAUCUACAAAAGGUCACUCGGAGCAGCUUCAAACCACCACCAAUCUCCCGGAGAGGGAAACAAGCCGAGAUCUCUCUCCAUAUCGUCCGCCGUCGCACCGUAACAACGCAACCGAGGAACGAUUCCUAGCACUGUCGGAGAAGCAGAAGACGAGAUCUUUCACCCUACUACUACUACAAAGGAAAAUAAAAGAAAGAGAAGAGACAUAGCCCUUUCACAUCGCCGGCGAAGCCUAAGGCGGCGGAGAGGCAAUCAGAACAAAACAGAGACGCUGUAGAUCUAGGGUUUUGAGAGAGAAAGAACCGUAAGAUUUAGAAGCGGUCGUGAAUCCCUUGUUUAGACUAUGUGAAAGUUCUUUCUUGAGACGAAUAGACUAUUUUUUUUUUUGCGUAUAUGAAAUGAAGGAUUUUAGAAGAAAAAUACACUACACACAUUUUACAAUGUAAUCUCUUUUAUUUUUUAAUGAUAAAUUCUUUAAAUAUACACUAGUCUAUAUAUAUAAAGUUAGCUUUUUCUCUCUUCUCAUGAUGUCACCUAAGCAUCCACCUAAGCCACAUUUUUGUUUAAACAUUAAAAUAAAUUUAAAACAUUCAUUUAGUGCAUAUUUAUGUUAUUUAUUUAAUUAAUACAAAGUUUAUAUAAAUAACUAUAAAUUAUGUAAAAAAAUGAAAUGUUAAAAUAAGAAAAACAAUACUUUAAUUUUUUAUUAGUGGUAAUAAUAUAAUUCAACUUUCAUUUUAAAUUGAUCAUAAUUUAAUAUUUUAAAUUUGUUACUGAGUUUUAGAAUGGAAGUAAGAUUUAAAUUUAUGGUAGACUAAAACAACAUUUAUGUAAUUGUAUAUAUAAAAUUAUAAAGAGGAAAAAUAAAAUGAAAGUGAAAUAUUAGUUUAUAACAUGAUCAAAAAGAAAAAAAUGAUAUUUCAUAAAUUGAAUCAAAUGCUUUUAAUCCAAAUUUGAGUACUGAAAGAUAAUAAUUAAAGAGAAAAUAAUUAUAAUAUUUUUGAAAAUCAAUUAAAAAUAAUAAUAAAAUAUCACAUUAUGAAUAAAAAAUCAACGAAACAAAAUUAUAAACCUCCCGCGCGUAUUUAUAUAAAGCAUAUACUACAACAUUAUGUGCAUAUGAAUCUGGAUAAAACAGACAUUGGACUCAAAACAAACAAAGACAUGGGCUCUAAAAGCCCAUUAAGAAUAACAAUUUCCAAAAAUACCCUUUACAAUCAUUGAAAAAUUCAAACUUGACCUAAAAAGUAUCUGAAAAGCCAGCGCCUUUUUUCGUUACGAAUCCGUGUUUCUCCCAUCUUUCAAUCCAACGGCUCUCCUUCCUCCUCCUUACCGUAAUCGUCGCUCCCCACUCAUUUCAAUUAAACAUUAAAAAAAAAAAAAAAAAAAACACAAAUUUCCAAAUAAAAACAAAAAUAAAAUCUCAAAGCCGAAGGAAAAAAAAAAAAGUCUCUCUCUCUCUCUCUCGCUCGCAGAUCUGAGAAUCAUCUUCUUCUUCUUCCUUUGUUCAUCAUCAAACUCCGAUCUAAACAACAAUGGCGGCACCAACAGGUUCAUCAGCAAGGGAAGAAUUCGUAUACAUGGCGAAACUCGCGGAACAAGCCGAGCGAUACGAAGAAAUGGUUGAAUUCAUGGAAAAAGUCGCGAAAGCUGUUGACAAAGAAGAACUCACCGUCGAAGAACGUAACCUCCUCUCCGUCGCUUACAAAAACGUGAUCGGAGCUCGUCGUGCUUCUUGGAGAAUCAUUUCAUCGAUUGAACAGAAGGAAGAGUCUCGCGGCAACGAUGACCAUGUUUCCUUGAUCCGUGAUUACAGAAGCAAAAUCGAAACCGAGCUUUCUGAUAUCUGUGAUGGUAUCCUCAAGCUUCUCGAUACGAUUCU